rnacentral:rRNA from 1 species
UAGUCCACGCCGUAAACGAUGAUCACUGGUUGUGCGCAAUACAUCGUGCGCGACUGAGGGAAACCAUUAAGUGAUCCACCUGGGGAGUACGUUCGCAAGAAUGAAACUCAAAGGAAUUGACGGGGGCCCGCACAAGCGGAGGAACAUGUGGUUUAAUUCGAUGAUACGCGAGGAACCUUACCUGGGCUUAAAUGUAGAGUGCAUUAUUUGGAAACAGAUAUUUCCUUCGGGACUCUUUACAAGGUGCUGCAUGGUUGUCGUCAGCUCGUGCCGUGAGGUGUCGGGUUAAGUCCCAUAACGAGCGCAACCCCUACUGCUAGUUGCUAACAGGUUAAGCUGAGGACUCUAGCGGGACUGCCGGUGUAAACCGCGAGGAAGGUGGGGAUGACGUCAAAUCAGCACGGCCCUUAUGUCCAGGGCUACACACGUGUUACAAUGGCCGGUACAAAUGGCAGCUACUUGGCAACAAGAUGCUAAUCCUAAAAGCCGGUCUCAGUUCGGAUCGG